rnacentral:sRNA from 1 species
ACUUCCUUCCUUCCGCAGGGCAGCAACCAGGGACCUGAGUGUUGCAAGGUGCGAGAGGGGAUCGCCGCGGGAAGCGCAUGGUGAGCGGUUUCUGCUGUGACCGGCUGCCGCGGGUCGAUUCUAGCGCCUCCCUCGGGACGCAGGUCGUCUUCCUUCCUGGAGGGUCUUUGGAGCGGAGGCCCGAGGCCUAGGGCAAACUUGCCAUGAAGAAAGGAGAGGCUGUUCGAGAGCCCUAGGCUGGGAGUCGGAGGACCUGGGUUCGAUUUAUACAUACUUGAGCAUGUCAAUGAACUUCUGGGCAUUUUAGUUUUCUGAUUUCCAGAAGUAAAUACUGUUUCCUGCCUUGCCGUUUCCCAAAGUUGUGCGGGUUGAAUGCCUCAAAUUCCUGCCUUUCCUCAAGAGAAGAGCCCCCAGGAGAAAAGCCAGUAUUGCUUGUGCUCCUAACAACCUGUCUCUUGAGAGGUUGAUCAUCAGGGGUUCACUUUUGGAGAAGUUGAGAAUGCAGGCUGAACAAGGAAGAGGAAGGGGAAUCCUGCAGGGAUGAAUGAGAGGACAGCAAUG